GACCUGAGCUGGGGCCUGUGCUUCCAGCGGGUGGUGGGGGGCCUGGUGUGCUGGCAUCAAGUAAGCCGACUACCUCGGCAAAGGCUUAGGGACAAGAGACCAGCAGCCUGAACUGGCUGGGGCAUCCGGAAGGCUUAGAUCUUGUGGCCAAGAGUUCAGACCGUGGCGAAGUGGAGAGUGACAUGCAGUUGGAUGGCGGUGACUGCGUGGUAUGGAAGAAAAUUCAGCUGAAAUUUGCUAGAAAAUGAGUUGUUUUGGAAAGAGACUGUAGAGAAAGGCAAAUGGAAGAAGAAAGCUUCUGUGCCCCCACAGAUACCGACUGAAAAGUGUUAGCAUGAGCAAAAGUUCCUAUCUAAUAUUAUAUGCUUUCCUUUGCUCCCAGAUGAUGUCAGAAGUGGGAUCCAAAGUAGAGCUUAUAAUGACACCUAGGAGUGCUGAGUGACCAAGCAAGGUACCCACCAGGCCGAUUAUGUCCAUUGUUCUCUUGGAGCAGCUGGUCAUCAUGGGAAAGGGUGCCACACUGGGAAUGCAAGCUGUCCUUGCUUCUGAACCAAGACUACUAUUGUGCCAGGAAGAGGGUGGGAAAAGAAGCCAAUAAAACUUUUCUUUUGAGUGAUUUGCAGCUUUUAACAAACUGAACCUGCUUAUUUCUGUGAACCAACCAGUGAUCUCUUAUGGCUGUUCAAAAGUAACAAGAGAGAUAUCACCUUUUGUCAUAACUCAAGUCUUAUGAAUGGCCCUCACCAUAAUGAUGCUUUUUGACUGAGCUCUUCUCUAACCUGAAUGCAAGAGGUUAGGCAUGAAU
rnacentral:lncRNA from 1 species